GUUCAUUCCUCCCGGUGGGUUCGUGGUCUCGCUGGCCUCAGGAGAGAAGCUGCAGACCUUCGCGGUGAGUGUAGCUCAUAAAGGCAGUGUGGACCCAAAGACUCAGCAGCAGCAAGAUUUAUUGCAAAGAGCGAAAGAACAAAGAUUCCACAUUGUGGAAGGGGACCACAGUGGGUUGCCACUUCCAGCUUCGGCAUUCUGCUUUUAUUCCCUUAUCUGGCCUCACCCACAACCUGCUGAUUGGUUAAUUUUACAGAGAGCUGAUUGGUCCGUUUUGACAGGGUGCUGAUUGGUGUGUUUACGAUCCCUGAGCUAGACACAAAAGUUCUCCAGGUCCCCACUAGAUUAGCUAGACACAGAGUACUGAUUGGUGCAUUCACAAACCCUGAGCUAGACACAGGGUGCUGAUUGGUGCAUUUACAAACCUUGAGCUAGACACAGAGCGCUGAUUGGUGCAUUCACAACCCCUUAGCUAGACAUAAAGGUUCUCCAAGUCCCCACUAGACUCAGGAGCCCAGCUGGCUUCACCCAGUGGAUCCCGCACCGGGGAGCUGGUGGAGCUGUGGGUCAGUCCCGUGAGGUGCGCUGGCACUCCUCAGCCCUUGGGUGGUCGAUGGGACUGGGUGCCGUGGAGCAGGGGGCGACGCUUGUCCGGGAGGCUUGGUUGGUGCAGGAGCCCACGGCGUGGGGGAGGCUCAGGCAUGGCGGGCUGCGGGUCCCGAGCCCUGCCCCGCGGGGAGGCAUCUGAGGCCAGGUGAGAAUUUGAGCGCCUGCCGGCACUGCUGGGGGACCCGGCGCACCCUCCGCAGCUGCCGGCCCGGGUGCUAAGCCUUACUUCACUGCCCCGGGCGGGCGGCUCCGCCGGCUGCUCUGAGUGCUGGGCCGCGGAGCCCACGCCCACCCGGAACUCGCGCUGGCCCGGAAGCGCCGCGCGCAGCCUCGGUUCCCGCCCGUGCCUCUCCCUCCACACCUCCCCGCAACUGAGGGAGCCGGCUCCGGCCUCGGCCAGCCCAGAAAGGGGCUCACACAGUGCAGGGCCGGGCUGAAGGGCUCCUUAAGGGCGGCCAGAGUUGGCGCCAAGGCUGAGGAGGUGCCCAGAGCGAGCGAGGGCUGCCAGGGCUGCUAGCAGGCUGUCACCUCUCAAUAGCAGUUUUGUAUAUGGGAUCUAGCCCCUCCCUAAGAGGUUGAUUCUAAGGAAGCCAACAGCCGUGUUGUGAGUACCCAAUGGAAAGUCUGUUGUGGCAGAAAACUGAUGUCUCCAGCCAACAGCACUGAGGCCCUGAGACCUGCCAACUGUCAUGUUACAUCUCAAGGAGAAGGAUUGCCAGAUCAAAAGUCUUGCAGUUAACCAGGCGUGGUGGCAGAUACCUGUAAUCCCAGCUAUUCGGGAGGCUGAGGCAGGAGAAUCGCUUGUACCCGGGAGGCAGAGGUUGCAGUGAGCUGAGACCGCGCCAUUGACUCCUGCCUGAUGACAAGAGAGAAUCUACGUCUCAACAACAACAACACGCUUGGGCACUGUAUUAACUCCAUAAUCGGUUUAUUCAUAAUGCUGCAUCAUCCAACCAUCAUCCAACCUAUUUAUCAUUCACAAUGCCACCUGUGAAUACUGGCUUCCAUUGACUCUUUCAAGAAUUGCUACUGGGCCUCACCAAUGUUGACCACAAAUGCAAGUCAUACUGAGAGCCUCUGUGCUCUUUCCCCUGUGGACAAUAACUACCAUUUCAUCCUGGACACCCAUUGUUUGCCUGGACCACACCUUGUUAUGACCAUAACCCUCAGUCAGACUCAACCUUCCUUCAAGAUCUGCAGAUCUAAAUUUUAUUGGGAACAGCUAGUUUGACAAGCAUAGACCAGAUGUCCAGUUGUCAUUCAUUCAGCAGGAGCAGCAAGAUUCAAUCAUGUUUUUAUUAUAUUAUUUCCUGAAACUUGUGGCUGUAACAAUGAAGUUUGAGGUAGGUACUGUUCACCAAAACAUAGAAGAGAUUCCAAUUGAUGCUCACUACUAAUUAGUGUUCAUUAAAGCAUAACAUACCCUAGAUUGUUUCUCUUGGAUUACUUAUCUGUACUUGUGUAUUCAUUCAUUUGUUCAUUCAUUCACUCAUCCAUCCAACUAUCUAUCUGUCCAUCCAUUUAUUCAUUUUCAAACUAAGUUUUAGGGCUGGCACUGUGAUAAAUGCUAUUCACAGUCAUUAAUCAAUAGUUAUAGUUAUUAUUUAAAAGUGUAUAGAAUAGCAGAAGGUGGAGACAUUUUCAUAUAAGUUAGAAAGUGCUAUAAUUAUCUCUUGGUUUAUGUGUUAUAACUGAGACAGCACAAAGAACAGCUUAUUAACUUUGUCUAAUAAAGUGUAGGUAGUAGUAAAAUUUAAGCUGAGUCUUAGAGAAUAUAUAUGGAUUUUUUAAAGGAAGAAAAACAAUAGCAUAUGCAAAACCUUAAAAGGAAGGAAGGGCUUUAUGAGUUUUGGAAAUAAGGAAAAGAAAAGGAUGAUGAGUUUGGAAGAAUGGUGGGAAACAGGCAUAGAGAGGUGGAUUGAUUUCUGGUUAUGCAGACCUUACUGUAGCAUGUUAAGGAGUUAUAUUUUAUCAAUGAUUCAAUACCUUAUUAAGAGGAAGGAUUUGAUUAGAUUAGUGUUUUAGAAAAAUUAAUUUGCUAGUCAUGAGGGUGAACUACAGUGGGGUAAGAUGAAAGCAGGACAACCAAAUAGGUGGCUUUUAUAAAAGCUUAGGAAACAGAUAGAAAAGCCCAGACUAAGGAAAAUGUAGUAUUGCACUUAAUUUCUCUUAGUCAUUAGGUUUUUCAACAUAAACCAAACCAAAACAAAAUCAUUGCAAAGAAUAGAGCUCUGUUCUUAUAAAGUGUUUCCCUUCAGUUGUGGUCUAAUUAAUUAAUUGUUCCUGAAGUUUAAUUAAAUAGUCAUGGAUAUUUUUAUAAAGGAUGUGGAACAACCAAUUAAAAUAUUCAUCUUGGCCUUUCAAAAUUAAUUAUCCCUUAAAUGCCACAGUCUAACCUAUAUCACAGAUAUUUAAGCAUAAGGGGAAAAAUGUUUGGAUUUGAGUGAAUCAUAGUAUUUAGUCUAUCAUAUUCUCAUAGGGAAAAUGAAAGGUAAUUUGAGAUAUACUACAGAUCAGUGCUAUUCAAUAAAACUAUUGGUGACGAUGGAGGUGUUCUCUGUCGUUACUGUCCAACAUGGCAGUUCUAGCCAUAUGUGGCUAUUGAGCACUUAAAAUGUGCCUAGUACAAUGGGGGACAUGAAUUCUUGAUGUUUUUAAAAUUGUAUUUAAUACAUACAAACUUAAACUGAAAUUUAAAUAAUCACAUGUACCCUAGUGGCUACCUUGUUGAACAGCACAACUCUAUAGACAGUGAAAAAUAUGCAGACUCAGUUGGACAAUCCUGCAAUGUGUGGCUAUAAAGAAGGCAGUGCAGGGCAGAAGAUAUAAAGUAGGGCAGGGGCUCAGGAUGGAAUUUUAUUUCAGCGCAGAUAAUUAAUGAGCUGCAGAUAUGAAUUUGCACAUAAACGUAAGUUCUCUCACUUGUACUAUGAAGUGAUUGGCUGAAUAAUCAUGACUAUCCAUUUAAGCUUCAUGUUUCUAUAGAAGUAAGUGAUUGUCACAGUUCAGCUGAAUAAGAUCUUGUUGGAGAAAAUGGCUUAUUUUCCACACUUUUCUUCAUUUUUAUAAAACUGGUCUAGGUGUAAAUUUGAGAUGCAAAAGUCAAGGAUAUAUAUUUUGAGUAAGUUGAAAAUGCAAAAGCAAAUAUGUACAUUUGCUGAAAGCUAUUUGUUUUCAAUCUAGUAAUUUAUAUACGCCUUACUUUGUAAUUUUCACUUAGUGUCUUUCUUUUACUACAUGUUACCUUCUAUGAUAGGCAGCCUCAAUAUGACUUUCAAUUAUCAUCACUUCCUGAAAUUCAUACCCUUGUUUUGUCUUCUUCCACACAGGAUUGGUCUGUGUAAGUAUGGCAGAAGUGAUGUUAAGUCGCUUAUGAGAUUAGGGUAUAAAAGACUAAGGCUUCCAUGCUUCCAUCUUGGUCUCUGUCUCUCAGAGAACAGUCAUGUGAAUGAUUCUUCUUGAAAGUAAAUCUUCCAGCCCCAGUCCAGUAUUCAAAUGAUCCAGCAACAUUGCAACUUAUGAGAGACCUUGAGCCAUCCAGGUAACAUGCUUCCAAAUCCUGACCCUUAAAACCUGUAAAAUAAUAAAUGUGGUUUUAAACUCUUAAGUAAUUUGUUACAUAGUAAUAAAUAGCUAAUACACCGUCCUGACUAUUGUCAUUCUUUACAAUAUUUCAUAAGCACUAGUCAUUAAACUAUCUGUAGUCCCUAAAAUAUUUAUCAAUCCUUUAAGCCUCUAUAAGUUCACAGAUUUUUAUGUGUAGAUAUUUAUUCCUCUGUCAAAUAUCUAAUGCAAUAUUUUCUCUUUCAAAUUUGGCUAGUGUCCUUUCUAGAGAAUUUUAUGACCUCACCAAUCUGAAUUAAGCACCAUCGCCAUUCCUGGUUUCAUAGAAGCAGAUGCCCAUGUCUAACUUAGCACUAGUCACACUGUUAUGUUCACAAGAUUGUAAGCUACUAAGAUUGGGACCUUAGUUUUAUUAAGUUUACAUAAUGUCAGAUACAUUGCCUAGCAAAAAAGAACUUGCUUAAUUAUUGUUUUUUAAAAUUAAAUACUAACAGAAUGAAUGGUUAAACACCAUUAAAUAAAUAUGUUAGUUCAGAUUAUAUAUUGAUGUAUGGUCAUUAGUUUCCUACAAAAGAGAAAUUUCAUGUUUUUCUAUCUAAAUGUAUAAUGCUCCCUCCAGCCCUACAGACAUACUAUUUUUUUCAAAAGAAUAAAGAGACAUGAACAAUAUAAAUUCAAACUGCAAGACGGUUGUGUCACAUUUCCUGGACUAUGUUGUAGCCUCCGUUUUGUAGCUGCACCUCCAGGAUAACUUGUGAAUCCUUAGGGUCAUGGAAAGAAGCCCAGUAAGUGGAUUUCUUUCUGAACAGGGCUGUCUUUGUUUCAUCAUGGAGCACCUUGUCCUCUUCAUCCAGCAUUAUGAUUUGCUCUUGGCCUUUCUCUGGGACACAAUAUGUGGCUCAUAGUUCUGAAUUAGAGGAG
rnacentral:lncRNA from 10 species